AAAGUGGCGAUGAUGGGAAGAGUAGGGUCUAAAACCGCUUAAGAGAGCCGGGGCGGGUGAAAGCCGGUGCGGAUAAUAACACCUGAAGAUGGUCCCUGAGUUGCUGUGCCGAAUUACCGAUUAUGGAGGUAUUUAGGCGCAGACGCGAGCACGCGUUAUAGUGCAGGGCGAUUAUCAUGUCGUCUGUAAUGAGGCCGUAAGGCGAAAUAGGGUGGUACCGCGAGAGCUCUCGCCCCUGUG
rnacentral:ncRNA from 1 species